ACGCUCGACACCUACGGGAGGUAGCAGUAGGGAAUCUUCCGCAAUGGACGAAAGUCUGACGGAGCAACGCCGCGUGAACGAUGAAGGUUUUCGGAUCGUAAAGUUCUGUUGUUAGGGAAGAACAAACUUCGUUUGAAUAAGGCGGAGUCAUGACGGUACCUAACGAGAAAGCCACGGCUAACUACGUGCCGGCAGCCGCGGUAAUCUGAGCGGGCUGGCAAGGC
rnacentral:rRNA from 1 species